AUGUCAGUUUCAAAAUUGAGAGGAGGCAUCAGAUUCCGUGAUUUGGAGGUGUUUAAUGAUGCUAUGUUAGCAAAACAAGCUUGGCGCUUGUUGGACAACCCGAAAAGCCAUUGUGCACACGUCCUAAGGGAAAGGUACUACCCCGAUGGUGAUUUCUUGCAGGCUGGGUGCCCAGCUAGUGCGUUGGCCACUUGGAGAGCCAUCAUAUCGGGCAGAGAAGCACUGAAAAAGGGUUGA
rnacentral:rRNA from 1 species